rnacentral:lncRNA from 13 species
AUGUUAACUCUGUGUGUUCCUCCAGCUCGGUCUCCGCUGUCCCUGGAGGUCUCUGAUAGAGACAUGUCCCGGGAGACCUCCCCCCUGGACACACCCGAGAGCAGAGGGUCUCCUGUCCCCAGGUCUGUGUCCAAACUGAAGGACAUUCCAGAGGAGGGCGAGGGACCGCUGGAGAGAGAGGCAGAGGACAUACCUAUGGCUGACUUAUCAGCAGAGCUACAAGACGCAGUGACAGAGCCUCUUGAGGAUCAUGAAGGGGUGCUGUUCCACUCUCUGCUGCCCCCACUGGCCCAACGCAGUAGUGUCACUCACUCAUUCUGGACCCUACUGGGUAAGACAAUGCAGAUGUGUGUGUGUGUUUGUGUGUAUAACAGUCAGGUGUGUGUGUGUGUUCUCUACAGAGAUGGUAACUGCCAGGAGACUCUGUGUGCAGCAGGAUGAACCUUAUGGUGACAUCAUAAUUUCACCUGGACCCAACUAUGAGGAGGGGAAUGAGAGUGUGUAACACACACACACACACACACACACACACACACACACACACACACACACACACACACACACACACACACACACACACACACACACACACACACACACACACACACACACACACACACACACACACACACACACACGAGUUUAUUCAAAGAUGACUUUCAAAUAGAUCUCACAAACAGAUAGUUUGAGUCGGGUAACUAGAAGAGACGACAGUUGACCUGUUCCUCUUUGCUAAUCGUAUUUUAGGUGCUUCAUUUGUGUGUGUUAUUUAGCAGACACUCUUAUCCAGAGCAGCUUACAGUAUUAAGUGUACACAUGUCUUGUGUUUUUGAUCUUGCCCCCAGUGGGAAUCAAACCCACAACCAUGGUGUUGCGAAUGCCAUCCUCUACCAACUGAGCCACACAGAACAUUUUGUAAAGCUUCAAGUUUUUAAAGUUUUAAAGCAGGUUUUGCUUUGUUGUUUUUUUAUAUCAGUAGUCUCUUAUUAUAUUAUGUGACUAAAGACUGAAUUUUAUAUUCAAUAUCACAUUUCUCUUUUAAGCAUUUUAAAUGACUUUUCCACCAUUUCUAUUUCCACAGUAUUUUAGUCUAUUCUUAGCGUGUGCUGACAUAUAAAGGACUCAGUGUGUUUGUGUUUCAGUGGUGUUUUUUUUAGACUUGUAACAGG